AGUGGACUUUAGAACACUUCUUAUAAUAUGUAUUUAAAUAUGGGUGUGUCUGAUAUCUGGCAAAUUCAUUUCAAGCCAAAUGACUCAAGAGCCAGAAUAGGCCCAGCUGGGAGGCUGCCCUAGUUUCCUGAGGGUGACCUGGAUGAAUUCCCUGCCUCUCUUGGCAGAGCGGGCAUUUCCCCUUGCCUCCCUUUUCCUGCCGUCUGAGCUCAAGCUGAGAGCACUGAGUAUUCAGGUCUUACUGGGUCUCAGAGGGUUUCCAGAUGAAACUGAAAAGUGAGAAUAAAGAGAAGGGGAGAGCCAUAGGGCGCCCAGUGCUUUCAGAUCCCUAGGUCUCAAGGAGAGCAACCCUCCCAUUUAUGCCUCUGCUUUGUUGGUGUUUCUAGUGUAACAGUGUCACUUGCUCUAAACAAGAAACAGCUUCUUAUAAUGCCAGCCUUUCAUUCGUCACGUUGGAUCAACACUGGUGUGGUGGAGUCCAGAUAAACCUGGGCCCCACACCAGCUCUGCCACUUGCUGUGUGACUUGUUACAGGUCACAGAACUUCUGUGACUCUUAGUUUCCUUUUCGGUAAAACCGGACUAUUCUAAUCAUUGAGAUUAGGGCAAUACUCAUAAUAGAUAUCCAGUAAAGGAGUAUUGAUAUUUAAUAUUAACUUGAAUGGCCUUAGACUAGUGCUUUCACAUUCAGUGCUGUUGUCUUAUCCUUAAUAUGAGAAAGUUGGUUCCAAAGGUCUUUCAAGCCCGUUUCAGAACUGACAGUUCUAUGGGUCCUCACUCUAAGGCAUUCUUGAAUGUUGGGAAUUGAGCCUCCCCCACACACCCUCCCAUUCUCACCUUUCUUAGUAGUGGUCUAACGCCACCAUCUUACACCUUACACCCCAAGACCUUCUAGCCCUCUCACUUCUCAUGUCGCUGUGGAAGCUGCAGAUUACGAGUUCCCAGGACUUAAUCCGUGCCCAUUGCCCUCAGUCUGGGUUUAGGGGCCGACUUGUGGCAGGAGAGGGGAAUCCAACGUGGGGCGCCGGAGCCUUGGAUCUCAUGUAGGAGCGGUGAAGGCAGCGCAGACGUUCGGGCGCCACCAAUGGACCCACCAGCUUCAGCAAACUUCUAGCCUAGCAGAGCGCCCUCUCCGCCCAGCGCUAGGAGACGGGCUGCGGAGUUGGUACUGGACAAGGGUGGGUGCGCUCGCCCACCAGGGAAGGGCUAACUUUGCAGGCACAGGCACCAGGAUGGAGCCCGAGGCCGCGGGAACCCGGUGCUUCCGAUCCCGGGCUCUUCGGCUCUGGGCAAGCCUGGUCCCGGUCUCCUUCCCCAAAGCGGAACCCAGCAUCUGCAGUGCCACGCCUUUCGGGCGCCACCCAGCAGGCCUGGGCGGGUCCCAGGCUGUCCCAAGUCUGGGAUCUCGGGGUAAUGAGAUGUUAAUGAGGCACGAAUAAAGCCUCCGAGGGCCGCACGCCCGGCGCCGGAGCCCACACCCUGCGCAACUCCUUGGUCCGGCGGACCCCGCGCGCAGACGACAACCCAGCUCUCCCUCCGCUCCUUCACCUCCUCCCCUUCCUCCGCCCCGCCUGGCAGGAAGCGGCCCCUCCCCGCUCUAGAGACACAGGGUUGGGUCACCCCUCUCUCUCCCGUCGCGGAGGUCUUCUUCCACUUCCCCACCCUCCAGAGACUUUGCCCUUCCUGACGUCCGUCCGCCCUAGUCCAGAUUUCACUUGGAAUGGAAGGGGAUAGCAGCCAUCUCUGAAGCAGAUCAAGAGUGGGCUGGGAGAAAGGAGCAGAGCCAAUCAGGGGUGGACCCCAGCUCCCUGGAGACAUCAAACUGCUUUCCUCUC